GAUGAAGAACGCAGCGAAAUGCGAUACGUAAUGUGAAUUGCAGAAUUCAGUGAAUCAUCGAAUCUUUGAACGCAUAUUGCGCUCUUUGGUAUUCCGAAGAGCAUGCUUGUUUUAGUAUCAGUAAACACCUCAAAGCUUUUGGAUUUUUUAAUCGAAAAGCUUUGGACUUGAGCAAUCCCAACACCAAUCUUUUUGAGAUCGGUGGCGGGUUGCUUGAAAUGCAGGUGCAGCUGGACAUUCUCCUGAGCUAAAAGCAUAUUCAUUUAGUCCCGUCAAACGGAUUAUUACUUUUGCUGCAGCUAACAUAAAGGGAGUUUGACCGUAUUGGCUGACUGAUGCAGGAUUUCACAAGGGUCGGCAACGAUUCUUGUUAAACUCGAUCUCAAAUCAAGUAAGACUACCCGCUGAACUUAAGCAUAUCAAUAAGCGGAGGA
rnacentral:misc_RNA from 1 species